rnacentral:rRNA from 1 species
AAUGAACGCUGGCGGCAGGCCUUAAACAUGCAAGUCGAACGCCCUAGCAAUAGGGAGUGGCGCACGGGUGAGUAACAUGUGGGAAUAUGCCUUUUGGUACGGAACAACGUUUGGAAACGAACGCUAAUACCGUAUGGUCCCUCCGGGGUAAAGAUUUAUCGCCAAAAGAUUAGCCCGCACUAGAUUAGCUAGUUGGUAAGGUAAUGGCUUACCAAGGCGACGAUCUAUAGCUGUUCUGAGAGGAAGAUCAGCCACACUGGGACUGAGACACGGCCCAGCCUCUUACGGGAGGCAGCAGUUAGGAAUAUUGGACAAUGGGCUCAAGCCUGAUCCAGCCAGGCCGCGUGAGGGACGAAGGCCUUAGGGUUGUAAAGCUCUUUUGCCGGGGACGAUAAUGACGGUACCCGGAGAAUAAGUCCCGGCUAACUUCGUGCCAGCAGCCGCGGUAACAC